UAUAAAGUGGUGUUGAAGCAUGAAGUAUUUUGAUUUCUUAGGUAAAAAUUUGGCAUUUUUCUUUAUAU
rnacentral:tRNA from 1 species